AACGAACGCUGGCGGCGUGGAUUAGGCAUGCAAGUCGAACGAGAAAGAUUCCUUCGGGGAUUGAGUAGAGUGGCAAACGGGUGAGUAGCGCGUGGGAAAUCUGCCUUUUAGUUGGGGACAACACUUCUAACGAGGUGCUAAUACCGAAUAAGAUCUUACUAUCGCAUGAUGGUUUGAUGAAAGACGGCCUCUGUUUACAAGCUGUCACUGAAAGAUGAUCCCGCGUCCCAUUAGCUUGUUGGUGAGGUAACGGCCCACCAAGGCUAUGAUGGGUAGCCGGCCUUAGCGGGUGACCGGCCACACUGGGACUGAGAUACGGCCCAGACUCCUACGGGUGGCUG
rnacentral:rRNA from 1 species